GUAGUUACGCAGAGUUGAAAGUUUUGAAGGUGGUAGAUAGUUGUUUUUUAUUUAUUUAUUUUCUCUCAAAGGAAAGUGGUAGCGUGUUCUUUUUUUUUUUAUCUUAAGUGGUAGAUAGUUUAAUGGGGGCAAAAGGUGCAAUUACGUUUACCGGAUUGGCUGUAGGGCUGGUGCCACUCACUGCACCACAGCCUUUGUAGUAAAUCCACGUUUUAAAAUCCGACAAUGUUUUUUAAAUUUUUUAGAACUUUUCCU
rnacentral:misc_RNA from 1 species